AGUGAACGCUGGCGGUAGGCCUAACACAUGCAAGUCGAACGGCAGCACAGAGGAGCUUGCUCCUUGGGUGGCGAGUGGCGGACGGGUGAGGAAUACAUCGGAAUCUACUCUGUCGUGGGGGAUAACGUAGGGAAACUUACGCUAAUACCGCAUACGACCUACGGGUGAAAGCAGGGGAUCUUCGGACCUUGCGCGAUUGAAUGAGCCGAUGUCGGAUUAGCUAGUUGGCGGGGUAAAGGCCCACCAAGGCGACGAUCCGUAGCUGGUCUGAGAGGAUGAUCAGCCACACUGGAACUGAGACACGGUCCAGGCUCCUACGGGAGGCAGCAGUGGGGAAUAUUGGACAAUGGGCGCAAGCCUGAUCCAGCCAUACCGCGUGGGUGAAGAAGGCCUUCGGGUUGUAAAGCCCUUUUGUUGGGAAAGAAAUCCAGCUGGCUAAUACCCGGUUGGGAUGACGGUACCCAAAGAAUAAGCACCGGCUAACUUCGUGCCAGCAGCCGCCGCCG
rnacentral:rRNA from 1 species